CGGAAGAAGAAGUCCCUUCCUGUCCGGUCACUUCAACACAAACAAGAUGGCGGCGCCAGGCGGAGAGAACGAGGAUGCUCGCGGGAAAACAAACCCUGAACCCGGGAAACUGGAGUUCUCUCUGGACGUCCCUUUCCCGACGUCCCGAGAAGCCGAGGUCGCUCUGUGCUCUCUGUCCCCCGACCGAGAGCCGAGGAAAGGAGGCAUCAGUAAACAUCUGUCUGUGUCCGGCCGCACGUUGUCUGUGAGGUGGAGCGCAGACGAAGCUCGAAUCCUCCGAGUGUCUGUGAACUCGUUUCUGGAUCAUCUGUCGCUCGUUGUCGAGACCAUGCAGAUGUUUGGCCCCCCCGUUUCCCAGUGACGCUUCUCUACGGAUUCACGAGUCCGAGUCUUGGAUCUUGGACUUUUCCACCCGACUCAGAUAUUUCGGAGAACUUUGGGUUCACUCCUCCUCCGACCACGGCCAGCAGGUUGGAUCGGUGCAGCAUGGAGCAGAGGGCCACGCUGCCGACCUGCUCGUGGUCUGAAGCACAAAACACACAGAACCGAUCUUUAGAGACCCGAGUACGAAACAGAAAGUGUGGCAGCGAGCAGUGAGACCCACUCACCCAGGUGACCCUUCUCCAUCAGCGGCUCCACGUUGUAGAUCCUGACGCCCGUCUCCAUCGCACAGCAGAAACAACCUGGUGAUAAAAGACAAAGAUGCUAUUUAAAUAAGUUUACUCACAGGCAGCGGUGACGUGACAACCAAUCACAACACGCUGCGCCUGACAGGUUUUAGAUCAUCAUAUUGUUUUGAUGUAGUUUUGAGAUUUGGGGAUAUUCUGCUUCAAUAACAUGUUUGUAUCUUGUACUUGUGGAAAAUAAUGUCAAAAAUACACAUUUGUGUGUAGUUGUAAAUCACAACAGAUAUAAUUAAACAUUUUCUCUGAUGCUC